AUUGAACGCUGGCGGCAUGCCUUACACAUGCAAGUCGAACGGUAACAGGUUAAGCUGCCGAGUGGCGAACGGGUGAGUAAUGUAUCGGAACGUGCCCAGUCGUGGGGGAUAACUGCUCGAAAGAGCAGCUAAUACCGCAUACGACCUGAGGGUGAAAGCGGGGGAUCGCAAGACCUCGCGCGAUUGGAGCGGCCGAUAUCAGAUUAGGUAGUUGGUGAGGUAAAGGCUCACCAAGCCGACGAUCUGUAGCUGGUCUGAGAGGACGACCAGCCACACUGGGACUGAGACACGGCCCAGACUCCUACGGGAGGCAGCAGUGGGGAAUUUUGGACAAUGGGCGCAAGCCUGAUCCAGCCAUGCCGCGUGCGGGAAGAAGGCCUUCGGGUUGUAAACCGCUUUUGUCAGGGAAGAAAAGGUUCUGGCCAAUACCUGGGACUCAUGACGGUACCUGAAGAAUAAGCACCGGCUAACUACGUG
rnacentral:rRNA from 1 species